rnacentral:rRNA from 1 species
GUCGAACGCUGGCGGCGUGCCUAAUACAUGUAAGUCGAGCGAAUGACGAGAAGCUUGCUUCUCUGAUUUAGCGGCGGACGGGUGAGUAACACGUUGGCAACCUGCCCUACAGAUUGGGAUAACUCAGGGAAACCUGGGCUAAUACCGUAUAAUCCUUCGAAUCACAUGUUUUGAAGUUGUACGGCGCUUCGCCGUCCCUGUAGGAUGGGCCCGAGGUGCAUUAGCUAGUUGGUGGGGUAACGGCCUACCAAGGCAACGAUGCAUAGCCGACCUGAGAGGGUGAUCGGCCACAUUGGGACUGAGACACGGCCAAAACUCCUACGGGAGGCAGCAGUAGGGAAUCUACCACAAUGGACGAAAGUCUGAUGGAGCAACGCCGCGUGAGUGAUGAAGGUUUUCGGAUCGUAAAACUCUGUUGUAAGGGAAGAACAAGUACGUUAGGAAAUGAACGUACCUUGACGGUACCUUAUUAGAAAGCCACGGCUAACUACGUGCCAGCCGCCGCCGUAA